AUUGAACGCUGGCGGCAUGCCUUACACAUGCAAGUCGAACGGUAACAGGUUAAGCUGACGAGUGGCGAACGGGUGAGUAAUGUAUCGGAACGUGCCCAGUCGUGGGGGAUAACUACUCGAAAGAGUGGCUAAUACCGCAUACGACCUGAGGGUGAAAGCGGGGGACCGUAAGGCCUCGCGCGAUUGGAGCGGCCGAUAUCAGAUUAGCUAGUUGGUGGGGUAAAAGCCCACCAAGGCGACGAUCUGUAGCUGGUCUGAGAGGACGACCAGCCACACUGGGACUGGGACACGGCCCAGACUCCUACGGGAGUCAGCAGUGGGAAAUUUUGGACAAUGGCCGCAAGUCUGAUCCAGCCAUGCCGCGUGCGGGAAGAAGGCCUUCGGGUUGUAAACCGCUUUUGUCAGGGAAGAAACGAGUUUCUCUAAUACAGAGACUUAAUGACGGUACCUGAAGAAUAAGCACCGGCUAACUACGUGCCAGCCGCCGCCGUAACAC
rnacentral:rRNA from 1 species